AGGUAUGUAGGUCCAAAAGGACACAUCACAAACCUGAUAUAUAUGGGGUUUGAGUGACAGAUAUACAGAAAGUUUAGGGUAUUGGAUCCAGUCGGAGCCAUGAUUUUAGUAUACGGAUAUGUGCCUUCUGGAUAUCCAGGUCUUGGAUAUUCUUCUACAUAUUGUAUUACGCGUGAGUAUCUGGAUUCGGAUUUAGAUCCGUAUAGAAAUAAAAUAGAUUUUUUAAAAUAUUAAAUUCUUAAAAUAAUACAUAAAUCAAAUAUCUAUACAAAAUUUAUAAUAUAUAUAUGAUUACAAAACUAAAUAUAAUACUACAAGACUAAUUUAUGUAUAAAUAU
rnacentral:lncRNA from 1 species